UGCUUUGUCCAUGUCCAUGUGUAAGUCCUUGCGCAUUCCGACCUAUACGUGUAAUGAAGUUCUUACAUUUGUCAAUGGAGGAGGUCCGAAUAAGAGUAGGUUGUUUUGGAUGUGCACUUGAAUUCUCUGAGUCGACGGCAGGGGAGGACGGUAAAGAGCCAGUAUUCUGAUUAUGAUUAUUAUUUCUGCGGAAAGCAGAAGGUAAACAUGCAAUGUAUUUAUGUUUAAGCUUUUGUUUAAAAGAUGGAGAGGAUGGAGAAGUGGGUGUGCUGUUGUUUGUUUCCUCCAUGAUCAAUAUGGUUAAGAGAGGUGAAAAAGAUUGAAAGGAUAUGGAAAAGUAUAUAUAAUUAUAUGAAGGAAAGGGUGUUUUAAUGGAGGAGAGAAGAAGAGAAGAAUGCGGCCAUGUGAGGAAGUAGUUUUUAUUUGUGGCCGGAAUUUUAGGAGAUGCGGAAG
rnacentral:lncRNA from 1 species